rnacentral:SRP_RNA from 1 species
GCCAGGCAUGGUGGCGCAUGCCUGUAGUCCCAGCUACUUGGGAGGCUGAGGCAGGAGAAUUGUUUGAACCCGGGAGGUGAAGGUAGCAGUGAGCUGAGAUGGCACCACUGCAAUCCAGCCUGGGUGACAGAGUGAGACUCUGUCUCAA